rnacentral:rRNA from 1 species
UACGGAGGUGGCAAGCGUUGUUCGGAAUUACUGGGUGUAAAGGGCGCGUAGGCGGUCUUGUAAGUCUUGUGUGAAAUCCCUCGGCUCAACUGAGGAACUGCACGGGAUACUGCGAGACUUGAGUUCGGGAGAGGGAAGCGGAAUUCCGGGUGUAGCGGUGAAAUGCGUAGAUAUCCGGAGGAACACCGGUGGCGAAGGCGGCUUCCUGGACCGAUUACUGACGCUGAGGCGCGAAAGCUAGGGGAGCAAACGGG